ACAAAAAAAAAUCUUAUUCAAACCAUGGCUAAAGCUUCACUGAUUAUGCUUUUCCUAGCCACCAUAUUGAUCUUUUCAUCUGAUGUUAUGAUGGAACAAGUGGGAGGGCCAUGUACUCCACAAACAGGUUGUAUAUGCAGAGUAGGAGUUCCAGAAUGCAUCAAUGGUGUGUGUACUUGUUGUUUUACUCCAACAUGUACUGUUAAACAAGAAAGCAUUGGUCGAGACCGCAAAGUAUUGACCUUGCAAUACUCUUUUAAUUAGUUGUUUGAGCUACUCAGAGUUUGUUAUAUGUAAAUUCAAUGUCAUAAUUAAUGGCUAUCAAUGAAGAUUAUAUUUUCAAGCAA